rnacentral:rRNA from 1 species
UACGAAGGGGGCUAGCGUUGUUCGGAAUCACUGGGCGUAAAGCGCACGUAGGCGGACUUCUAAGUCAGGGGUGAAAUCCCAGGGCUCAACCCUGGAACUGCCCUUGAUACUGGAAGUCUCGAGUCCGGGAGAGGUGAGUGGAACUCCGAGUGUAGAGGUGAAAUUCGUAGAUAUUCGGAAGAACACCAGUGGCGAAGGCGACUCACUGGCCCGAUACUGACGCUGAGGCGCGAAAGCGUGGGGAGCAAACAGG